GACGAACGCUGGCGGCGUGCUUAACACAUGCAAGUCGAACGGAAAGGCCCUGCCUUUGUGGGGUGCUCGAGUGGCGAAAGGGUGAGUAACACGAGAGUAACCUGACCUUGACUUUGGGAUAACUUCAGGAAACUGGGGCUAAUACCGGAUAGGAGCUCCUGCUGCAUGGUGGGGGUUGGAAAGUGUCGGCGGUGGAAGAUGUAUUCGCGGCUUCACAGCUAGUUGGUGGGGCAGUGGCUUACCAAGGCGUUGACGGAUAGCCCGCCUGGGGAGGUGAACGGCGACCAUGCUCCUGCGGGACGCCGCAGUCGCCAACGCGACACAGUAGUGGGAAAUCUGAUGCAACGGGCGCGCGCGUGUUGCAGCAACCCCGCGAGCGUGAUGACGUCUUUCGAGUUGAAAACCUCUUUCGCCGGUGACGAUGACUGUGUGACGGUAACUGAUCAGGAAGCCCCGGCUAACUACGUG
rnacentral:rRNA from 1 species